UUUUUUAAUUAGAAACUAGAAUGAAUGGUUGAACAAAAUAUUAGCUGUCUCAAGAAAAUUUUACUAGAAUUUUAUUUUUAAGUUAAAAAGCUUAAAUAAAUUUAUUAGACGAGAAGACCCUAUAGAGUUUUAUAUUAUUUUAUAUUUUAUUUAUAUAGAAUUAUUAAUAUUUUAUUUAAAAUAAUAUUAUAUUGGGGUGAUAUUAAUAUUAAAUUAACUUUUAUUUUUUAUUUACAUUUAUAUAUGAAAAAUUGAUCCAUUAUUAUUGAUUAGAAAUUUAAAUUACCUUAGGGAUAACAGCGUAAUUUUUUUUAAAAGUUCAUAUUAAUAAAAUAGAUUGC
rnacentral:rRNA from 1 species